GUCUGGGAAACUGCCUGAUGGAGGGGGAUAACUACUGGAAACGGUAGCUAAUACCGCAUAACGUCGCAAGACCAAAGAGGGGGACCUUCGGGCCUCUUGCCAUCGGAUGUGCCCAGAUGGGAUUAGCUAGUAGGUGGGGUAACGGCUCACCUAGGCGACGAUCCCUAGCUGGUCUGAGAGGAUGACCAGCCACACUGGAACUGAGACACGGUCCAGACUCCUACGGGAGGCAGCAGUGGGGAAUAUUGCACAAUGGGCGCAAGCCUGAUGCAGCCAUGCCGCGUGUAUGAAGAAGGCCUUCGGGUUGUAAAGUACUUUCAGCGGGGAGGAAGGGAGUAAAGUUAAUACCUUUGCUCAUUGACGUUACCCGCAGAAGAAGCACCGGCUAACUCCGUGCCAGCAGCCGCGGUAAUACGGAGGGUGCAAGCGUUAAUCGGAAUUACUGGGCGUAAAGCGCACGCAGGCGGUUUGUUAAGUCAGAUGUGAAAUCCCCGGGCUCAACCUGGGAACUGCAUCUGAUACUGGCAAGCUUGAGUC
rnacentral:rRNA from 1 species